UACAGAGGUGGCAAGCGUUGUUCGGAAUUACUGGGCGUAAAGGGUGCGUAGGUGGUGGGGUAAGUCGGAUGUGAAAGCUCGGAGCUCAACUCCGAAAUGGCAUUGGAAACUACCCUGCUAGAGGAUUGGAGGGGGGACUGGAAUACUUGGUGUAGCAGUGAAAUGCGUAGAUAUCAAGUGGAACACCAGUGGCGAAGGCGAGUCCCUGGACAAUACCUGACACUGAGGAGCGAAAGCGUGGGGAGCGAACAGG
rnacentral:rRNA from 1 species